GCUGAGAAUAAAAUUCAAGGUGUAACCUGCCCAGUGGUUGAUCAUUAGAAUAAAUAUCUUAAAAUUCAAUUAAACGGCUGCGGUAUUUUGACCGUAAUAAUGUAGCAUAAUCACUUGCCACUUAAUUAGUGGAUAGUAUGAAUGGUUGAACGAGUUUUUAACUGUCUUAAUAAGAAGAUUUAUGAAAUAGAAAUAAUAGUUAAGAUGCUAUUUAAAAUUGUAAGACGAAAAGACCCUAUAGAGCUUAACUAUUUCUCUUUAGAUUAAGGAAUUUUUAAUAAUUACGAAAAAAGAGUUAGGUAGUUUAGUUGGGGCGACUACCUUUUAUUAAAAACAAAGGUAAACAAAAUAAUUAAUUAAUUAUUUAUUGUAUAAUAUAUAUAUUUAACAAUUAUAAAAGUAGGUAAUAAUGACCCGUUAUUAUUAUAAAAACAAAAUAACGAUCAAUAAAUAAAAGCUACCUUAGGGAUAACAGGAUAAUUUUAAUUUAGAGAUCAUAUCGAAGUUAAAGUUUGUCACCUCUAUGUUGAAUUGAGAUAUCCAUACAAUGCAGAAGUUGUAAAGGGUUGGUCUGUUCGACCUUUAAAAUCUU
rnacentral:rRNA from 1 species